CGCUUCCCGCGCGCGGCCCCAACGGCUCGCCGUCCGCUCCCGGCCUGCCGCGCGCCGCGGGGCCGCGCUGAGGGAGGGCUCUGGCGGCGUCAUGGCGGCCGCCGCGGCCCCGGGGCCCGGCCCGGACAUGUUCGAGGAGAUCGUGAUGGCCGAGCACAGGUUCCACGGCGAGGGCUAUCAGGAGGGCUACGCCGAAGGCCGCCAGGCUGGGGCUGCUGAGGGGAGGAGGCACGGGGCGCGCCACGGGGCCAGGGUGGGCGCCGAGAUCGGCAGCUACCUUGGCUUUGCACUGACCUGGCAGUGUCUGCUCAGCAAAUGCACAGAUGAAAAGAACAGUAAAAAGAGAAAGGCUCUGGAUUCAUUAAUAGGAAUGAUUCAGAAGUUCCCGUAUGAAGACCCCACUUAUGAAAAGCUUCAAGAAGAUCUGGAAAAAAUCAGAGGAAAAUUUAAACAGUUCAUGCCAGCUUAGUCAGAGCUGAGCAGAUGUAGUCCAAGUCUUACUUGACUGGGCAGUCUCUGGCUUUCAGGAGUUCAGUGGAAGUGUGCACAGCGUGUGCCCCAGGAGCAGACCAUGCACUGCGGGUGGUGCCUCUGCGUCAGCAGGGCACGUGCAGAGUUAAGAUGCUGUGUCUGUGCCUUAUUCCUGAUAUACUGCGAGCACCCAGUCUUUCUGCCAGUAGUUCCCUCUUCAGGUAAGAGCGCUCCUGAAAAUUAUGGCUACUUAGUGAUUUCUUGGUAUGGCUAUGCAAAUGCUAGUGGGAUCAUCAAGAAAUUAUUUGUUUUUUGUUAUUAAAUGGCUAUUGCAUUAAAGAAGCAGAAGGGUAAUGUCUGUCUUGCUCCUACAUUUGUACUCCAUUAACGUAAAGAGCAAAAUGAGGAGUCUGGCAAGCCUUACGUUUUCAGUGCAAUCCAGUCAAAAACUUUGCGAUCCCUUUCUCAUUAUUAUAUAAGAAUAUUGUGGGGGAACUCAGUCAAAAGCCAGAUAGGAAUCUUAUAUUUGUCAUGCUGCUGUAACUACCAUUAGCAGGUAUGUUUGAGGGAUCAUAAAAACACCGUGUUUGUCUGAAAAGAUGAAUUUCCCAUAAAAUUAUGUUGGUGUGAAUUCAUUAUAGUGCCAUCAUUUAUAGCUUUAUGGCCUUUGUCCCAUAGUAGCUUUUCAAUGCCACUGCUAGAAGCCUGUAUCAGAGUAUCUAGCCCACACACCUGGGUCACGUCUAUGCUCCUUUGAGUUAGUAGCUUGAAACUUCAUUUUCUCUCCUACGUUCUGAAGUUUUCCAUCACUUACAGUGCCAAAUACACUUGCCUGUAAGUAGAUUUAAAAGUUCUUACAUUUAACAGCUUUUUUUUUGUUUAGUAAAGAAUACGUGAACUUAAUGUUUAGUAAAGGUACAAGCUUUGUCAGUCUAAAUGCAGCAGUGGAAUUGAGGAUGCUUUUUGGAGAUUUUUCUACAUAGGUUUCUCAAUCUGAUGUUGCUAUAGCAUUUUUCCUUUAAAUGAGCUAGAGCAUAGUCUAGCUGAAUGUGCAUAUUUUUUUACAGCCUAUAGUAAGUUGUUUUUCUUGCUACAUUCUUGUCCCAUCCUUUCCAAUGUGAAUAAUAUUGGCACAGCUCACCCAACAUUCAAAUUUAGUAGGCUCCAUUCAGAGAUGGUGUUUAAGAGAAGGAAAAUGUAAUUAACAGAGCUGACUGUGGGCUUAAACCUGUUCAAAGCACCGAAUAACCUCAGUCAGUUUAAUAGAUUAAAAAUACUCAUAGAAAAGGCAAAAAACGUUUAACAUGUUAAACAAAAUGCAGGUUGAAAUUUCUAAUAAUUUUUUUCAGCAAAAAGCUUUUUGUCCCAAAUCAAGAUUGUAUGUAUGUCUUCAUUCAAAAUAUUUGAAAUUAGAGGGGUUGGUCAUCAGUGAUACAAAAGCCUUUUUUUUGACCAUAUAGAGGAGGUCCUGAUCUCUGAAGGACAAAAUUGCAGACCCACUAUGUACAAAUCGGAACCUCCCCAUCUGUGAGCUUACGGUAGGCCACGUGGUUGAGGUUUCUGUCUGAAGUGGCUGGGAAAUCAAGCUAAUACAGGCUCAGCUGUGAUUCUUCUGAUACAGGGGGCUUCCCAUCUAUUGGUAACUGCAGUAGGACGAGCUGAUUUAGCACUAGACUGUGUCCAACACGCUCAUGUUAACUUAAAGAGUUUUCAUUUUUCACUUCCUUUACUGUAGCUAUUGCAUAGAAUCAGUUGUUCUGUGAAGUUCAGUCAGUGGGAAAUUCAGAAGGCAGAUAAACAGGUAUCUGAUCUGAGAGACAAGCACUUGAUAUUUUACAUGUAUUUGUUUUAAAGCCAGUAAUGACAUCACGUUUUCAUAGAGUAAAUAGUCAAUACAUAUGUUAAAAGCUUGACCAUUCAUCACUAGGAAUAUGCUGUUUCUGGUGUGUCUAGUUGUAGCAAUUGGUAACAUGCAUCCCAUUUACGCAUCUGGGACACAAGUUGUAAGUUUUUCUCGUUUUGUUUUAUAAAUAAUCACAUGUAAUUACUGUUACAUUUUUGUCCUUCUCAAGUCCAGUUCUUAGAUUUAGUAGCUCCUAAUUUUUUAUUAUCUUAGCAAUGCAACAGUAUGCAUAAGCUUUGUAAGAGGUAAUGGGAAGGAAAAUAAAGCUGUUUAACUUUACUUCUUUUAAAACUAUUUUCUAUUAAUGUAUUCUAGGACACAAAACCUUACACUGAUAAAUAAAUACAGACAAGCAUUCUGUACCAAACACCUACUUUAUUUCACCUUUUAUUAAAAAGAACCACCAAAUGGUAUUUUACUCUGAGUAAUUACCUUAGAUGUUUAAAAUAAUCUUAAGCAAAUACUUGUUUUGCUUUUUUAAAAUACACAUUACCGUGACAGCCAGUCACCUACCCAUUUCUAAAAAACGCCUACACUUUCCUAAAAUAAUAGUAGAAAAUUUUCAGCAUUGCAACUAUUAAAGCACGGAGAGUCAAAAUGAGAAAAUGUCUCGUGGCUUACUCAUUACAUUAGGUAGUUACUACCAUUCAGCAUUCAUGAAAGUAAUAAAAAGACACAACAAGCAGACACUGGGUUUUACCAAUUUUAUUUCUAGACUUUAGGUUGUUGGGUUUUUUUGUUUUUUUUUUUUAAGAUUUUUUUUUUUGCUGGAAACUUGUCUGUUACAGGUCUGUUGGUGAAAAUGUGCAUUUCAGACCAGUGAUGCCAAUAAGUACAAUAUAAAAAUGUACAAAUCUGAAUUGCUUGCUUACUACAGAUUGUUAUAAUAAUGUGACAAAUAAAGCAUCUCUGUUGGCACAUGAACCCACUUAUCUGGAUUUGGCCUUUUAGUACAUACAAUAGUUAAAGAAUUUUGCAGUACACACUGCCACUCAGUGUAACACAUAAUAUAACUGACAACCACUAACUCAGUAAUCAUGUUUGGUUCAGAGACACAGAGAUGCCACGAACAGAAGUGUUUUAUGAGGUAAGCAGUAAAUGUUCCUGAAAUUUGGACAGAAUGUAUCCAGUCCUCCUGGGUCCUGCGACUGCUAGUAGCAUUGCAAUGCUUUGUUUAUGCACUAUGUAGGAUCUUAACUGCAUUUGCCUCAAAGAGUUCUAAUUCUGUUUUGGUUUAGCAGCAUACAGGCAACAGCUAGAUUAUUCUUCAGCAUACAACUCUGUUAGCUGGCUUAUUUAUGAGAUUUACAGGCUUUUUAAAUUAGCAUUAUGCUAUAAUUAAAAAAAAAAAACAAAACUAGUAUAUCAUAACAGAUUAAACACACAAAAUACUUAGAGUUCCAGAAGAUAACCUAUCAUACCAACUGAUGUGUCCCAAUUGAUGGGUAAGCGCAUCAGGUGGCAUACAAGAGUUAUAUUAUAAUGCACCUUUCAUAUAUCACUUGUGGCUAAUAACACAGCUUAAAACUACUAUGAUAAUAAACCCCAGAUCAGACAAAGAAUCCAGCUUUAUAAAAUGCGCAACACCAUAAAAACUGACAUUACUUGAUCUUCUGAAAUGUCUGCCAUUUUAAAUUAAUGCAACCUAGUUGCAAAUUGCGAGACCCAUUCAGAAUAACGUUCGAUGCAUUUCCAUUUGCAGUAGAACUAUGAGGCACUGUGUACGAACAUUAAAACCUGGUCUAGACACGGUUAACUGAAGUAUGAGGUAUUGUGAAACAGGAACCUUUUUGGAAUAGAGCAGUAAUCACAUUAAGUAAAAAUUGAUCACAUAAAAAAUCUACAAAAAAAUGAUGUCAAUAAUAUAAUUUUCUAUGAGAAAAUUAAAACCUAUAACAUGGCAGUAUAUGACAUUGUAUAACAAAAAAAAAAAAAACUGAUCCACAAAAUAGCAGCAAAACACAAUGACAAAGAUACAGAAAAGCAAUGUUAAUUUUUUUUUCAAACCAUGCUGGGAAUUUAUCCAUAGCAGCUCAAUAAAAAUGGAGCAUCCGCUCCUAUUCUUUUCUCUUUUUCUUUUUUUCUUUCUUUUUUUUUUCUUUUUUUUCCUUUUCUUUUUUCUGUUUUUUCUUUUUUUUUUUUUUUUUUUUUUUUUUACAAUCAACACCUUAGCGGCAGUUUUCUCACAUACAUUUCACCAUCACAUUCUCCUCGAGCAUCAACUUCAACAGCUAUGUCCACGUCCCUUCAGCUACUUCCUAAAAUAAUAAUAAAAAGAUACAUAGCCAAGAUGUGCAAAUUUUCUAUUUGUAGCUAAAUUAAAAAAAAGGGGGGGGGCAUAUACUGGAAUAGGAACUUCUUUCAAGUACUCCAAUUUUCGUAUCUAUUAACUAUGGCGUUUUUUUCAUGGUUAGACUGCUACUGAAAAUGUGUAAGGGGCCAAAUAGACUGCUUUGUUUUGGGUUUGGUCUCUGAAGUGUCCUUUUUUUCUUUACUAAGCUGUGUUAAAACUGCAACAUCAAGGGUAGAAAGAUUUUUUUUUAAAAAAGGGGCGAUUGCAUUAUUUUACAAAUCAUACUGGCCUUACGAACAUCCUCUGCAAUAAAUAUUCUUUUUAGCCUUAACUAUAAAUUAUAUAUUUUAGUGUUUAAAAACCUUCAGCUGUAAAACAUCUAAAGAAAAUCCUUAAACUAUGUGUCCUAUAUGUGAACCUUUAAGGCCCCUAAUUUAUAAAGAUGUGUUGGCACCAAAGGAUUUCUAAACUUCAACUUUUCUAUAGAAAAGGAUAGGAAGAUAUCCUGGCAAUUUGUGAAUGCAAUUUCUCUCACUGGAACGCAACCUUCGAAAAAAAAAAAAUCACCUUUCCUCUAACACCAUAGUUAAAUGCACUUGCCUUGCAAUUCCAAGUUUGCGAACAAGCACUUAAUAUAUUUCCAAACCAUUCCAUUAAAAAAAAAAAUUCCCACACAAUAAAAGAAUGUAUUUCCUAUAUCUAAUGGACUGAAAGUGCUUUGAAUGGAAUGGUUUUAGAAUAUUACAAACAACAACAAAAAAAAGACUAAACUGUGGAUUGAACCUGACCAUAAUUAGGCUGAAUAUCUGCGGGGUCAGACCAGCAUUUUUACACAGGUAACUACAAAAAUAUGAAGAUUACAAAAAUAUAAUAUAUUAUGUCACUAUUUCGGUUUCUCUUUAUAAUAGAGUAUCGUAUGAGUAGUACAUUGGCCUUUCCCAACAAUGCUAAGCUGGAACCCUACAAAUGCACAGGCAAUCCACAGGCACGCACACACACACACACACAAAAAGAUUAACAUAUAAUAAUGCUGUAUACUAACAUACACUAACUUAUGGGUUACGUUAACCAUUUAUAAGGUGAAGAGGAUAAAAAAAAAACCUAAGGAAAUAAAAUAAACAUUUACAGAUGAAUUAUAAAGUGACUAAAUGCAUAAGCAAGCAAGAUACAGAAAAGCCUAGAACUGCGUUAAAGCUAUGCUUUUUAAAGAAAAAAAAAAGAAUAUUUCAUUUACUAUCUAAAAAAACCCUCUUCUACUUUAAAAAUGGUUGGUUGGUUUGUUUUAUAUGUAAGAAAUCAAAUCUAAUACCUCCCCUGGAGACAUUUUGUGUGUUAAUGCCUAUUUUUACAACAUACAGACAAGAACACUUUAAUAUAAAAACUAGUUGAUUAUUAUUGUAUAAAAUCCUCUAUUUUUGUAGCACAAACCCCUGGGGGUAAUGCAAAUACUAUUUUUUUCUUUUUUAAGACAGUUUUUGGGGUAUUUUUUGUUUAUUUGUUUGUUUGAAGUCACAGAUGGAAGGGAGACAGAGCAAGAAAAAAUAUAACAAGACGGGUUUUCCCUUCUGGUAUAAAAAUGUCCUGGAGAAAAGGGUUUCUGGGGGGGAGAUCCUGAUGCUGAUUCCUUCUCAGAUGCCCUUUCUUUGUCUGCUUCUCUUGCCAAGCAAACCCAUUAGAAGAAGUCCUCUUAAAUGUUCACAUCUCGCACAUCAGUAGGUGUGCAGGAAAGGUCUGCUUCAUCCUCUACAGUCUUUGUUUCUGAAGAUACGUUGUGCUGCUGUGCCUGGCGUAGACUGGAUUCAAGGAGGGAUUCGAUCUGUUCUUGGCAGGCUCGUAAACAAUCCUAGAGAAGAUUAAAUGGAAGGAGAAAAAAGACCCAGGGUCCUUUAGAAAAAUACAAAGACCACAGACCACGUACCAUCUCUUGAAAAGCCAAGAGAAAUACAAUGACGUUAUCUGGGAGGGCAGCACACUCAAAGGAGAGCAGGAAGAGCAAGAGGAACACUAACUAGUGAGAGCACUGGAUGAGCUACCCAAAUUGCUGCAGGGUGCUAACCUGGAUCCCGCACUUAGUAACUGACUCCUGCCAUCUAUUUCAUGGCCAAUGCGAGCGUUCUCCAUACACGGACCUCUGGACAAAGGACAGCUCUCAGUUUGCUCUUAGUCUCAGCACUACAGGAGGAACACGAUGAGCGCUCCGCUACCAUCACACAGGCACUCGCUUCCCUGGCAGGGCCUUGGCACAGCAAGAUGGAGCUUGCCUGUUGGAGCUUUACUGCAGUGCUUCUUGCCUGGGCUGCUAACACUUCAGCAGUUACGUGCAAAUCCAUCCGUACCAUCUUUUACCUCAGUCUUUUAGACCUUUCAAAAACACAAGCUCUCUGACUGGACAGCACUGUGAAUCAAAUCAUAAUUAAAUGUAACGGAAAAGACAUAAAACUGGGCUGGAGUCAGGGCUGGUCCAAGUAUUGCUGAUGCCGUCAUGAUUUCUACUUUUACCGCAAAAAAAAAAAAAAAACUUCAGCAGUGCACUCUAUUACAAGGGAUGGCCAUAAAUGGUGGCUUCCCCAGGCUGAGGUCUGAUGAUACAAAGUUCUUAGAUAGAAGUGCCAUAUUUUUCUAUUUAGAUAUA